rnacentral:rRNA from 1 species
AGUGAACGCUGGCGGUAGGCCUAACACAUGCAAGUCGAACGGCAGCACAGGAGAGCUUGCUCUCUGGGUGGCGAGUGGCGGACGGGUGAGGAAUACAUCGGAAUCUGCCCAGUCGUGGGGGACAACGUAGGGAACCUUACGCUAAUACCGCAUACGACCUUCGGGUGAGAGAGGGGGAUCGCAAGACCUCUCGCGAUUGGAUGAGCCGAUGUCGGAUUGGCUAGUUGGCGGGGUAAUGGCCCACCAAGGCGACGAUCCGUAGCUGAUCUGAGAGGAUGAUCGGCCACACUGGAACUGGGACACGGUCCAGGCUCCUACGGGAGGCAGCAGUGGGGAAUAUUGGACAAUGGGCGCAAGCCUGAUCCAGCCAUACCGCGUGGGUGAAGAAGGCCUUCGGGUUGUAAAGCCCUUUUGUUGGGAAAGAAAUCCUUCAGGCUAAUACCCUGGGAGGAUGACGGUACCCAAAGAAUAAGCACCGGCUAACUUCGUG